GUGUGUGUAAUUUAAAUAAAA
rnacentral:tRNA from 1 species